rnacentral:snRNA from 1 species
AUCGCUUCUCGGCCUUUUGGCUAAGAUCAAGUGUAGAACUAAUGAACAUACACAGCAAAUUUACAGAAUACAAAAUUAAUUUUGAGAAAUCAGUUGUAUGCUUAUACACUAACAAUGAACAAUCCAA